rnacentral:misc_RNA from 1 species
UUUGCAGCUGAUAAACCAAGAUUAAAAUUUACAACUGACAUUCAGUCAGCCUAUAUUGAUAUUCAUUCAAUAAAUAAAUUACGAAUCGUAGGUUAGACGUCGAGUGAGCAGAGUGUAUAGACCUUUUUGACAUUCAAUUGGACGAGAUACUCUGAUAGAUUGUGAAUGAAAUUUUAGAUUAAAAGUGAUUUUCAGCAAAGAACCUAAAGCUAGUAAUAUAAAAAUGAAUAUUGAUUAGCAACCCCUAUGUGAUUCAUUACGCCGUAUACAUCAUUCAAAUAAUACAGAUGUUCAUAACGCUAUUUUUUUUAAUAGUAUUUUCAUCAUUUUUUAUUUCGUGGCAAAAGAGAGAAAGUGAAUUGACGGAUUUUUCUUCUUUUUUCCUCCAACAAACACAACAAAUUCCAGAAGAAAAGGAGAACAAAGAAACAAAAAUUCAACAAUGUCAACAAAGGAUCAAGAUCAUAGCACAAAGCUUAUAAAAGUUUGAAUUUGUCGAUUGACGUAAUCAAUUAUUUUCUUUUUUCAAUUGUGUUCUCUCUAAAUAGUUUAAAGAAGCUCUUGGAGAAAGUUUAAUAAAGGAUCACGACGACGCUUAUCUAAUUAAAUGGCUAUACGCGAGGAAGUUUGUUAUUGAAGAUGCGGCAGAGAUGUACAAGAAGGUAAUGAAUUCCAAUAGCCUACAUUUACAAGGGAUUUAGUAAAAAACCAAAGUACCUUGAAUUGAAUUUUUCAUUCAAACAACAGACGGAUAGAUAUCGAUAAAAAAAAACAAUACUAAAUUGAAUAAGUUUAACGCUUAAUGUGUUUUUUGUUUUAUUAUUGUUGCUCUUCAUUAGAGUAUGAUUUGGCGGCGAACUACCGGAGCUGAUACUCUAAUUAAAACAUACCAAAAACCGGAAAUACUAGAGAAAUACUUUCCAGUUUCCUUUGUUGGCAUAGAUAAGCAGGGUAAUCCGAUUCUUUUUAACCAUAGCGGUAUAACGGAUUUUAGGGGACUGUUCGAUUCAGUUACAAAAGUUGAAUUUAUAAAAUAUAUGACUUAUCUAGCCGAACUCGGUAGAAAGUUAUGCAAUGAACAAAGUAAACAAAUGGAAAAGUUUAUUGGACAAAUUUCUGUUGUAAUUAACGGAGAAGGUUUCUCCAGACACAACAUGACAAAGAAACUAAUUGAUUAUAUGACUGAAUUCUUGAAAGUUUUUGAAGCUAACUAUCCAGAAUAUCUAUAUAAGUUUUAUAUAUUAAACCCUCCAAAAAUAUUCAAAUUACUAUAUAAUAUAGUAAAACCAUUUUUAAAGAAAGCUACAAGAGAUAAAGUAAUCUUUUUAGGAAAUGAUUACAAGGCUAAGCUCGCUAUUGAUUUUCAUAUAGAAAAUGCUCUUGAUACGUUUUGUAUCGGAGAAGGAUCUUCCUCUAAUAAAAAGAGCAAAUCCGAUUACAUCGUUCCCGAUGAAUAUAAAAUGAAUAAUGAGAAUAUUUCCGAUGUAAACUCUGAAAUUAAAAUAGGAAGAUUCGGCGAAGUGGAAGUUGAUUUUCUUGUUGAAAAAUCUAAUUCGAUUGUCAGAUAUUCAUUUCAAACUAAUGAUAAAAUCAAGUUCGGAGUUUAUAAAAAGACCGAUAAUAGUCAAGUUAAAUAUGAUAAAAUGAAAAAGAUCGAAGCUUUACACAGCGUGGAAAGUCACAAAUAUCCCGAAGACGGGUGUUUUGAAUGCGAAGAGGAAGGAAUAUGUAUGAUACUAAUUGUCCAAUAAUUGCAUUGUUCUAUAGACUAUAAAUAAUAUCUAUGUUAUCUACAGAUACCAUCGUUUGGAGUAAUAAAACGUGUUUAAUAGGAAAGAAUCGCAUAAAUUAUACAUUGGACGUUUUGCUUCCUAAUUGCGACACUGAUAGUGGACAGAAUAUCAUUAGCAAGCCAGCUAAGUGUAUAGCCAUUAGAGGCGCUCAUUCUGCUAAACUUAAACAAUGAUAUACAUAUGUAUACAGUUAUAAAUGGGCCUAUGCUAAAAUGUUCGUAUUUUCUAUCUUUAUCAAUAAGGAAUAAAGAAAACAAAUUAGUUCUAAGAAAAUAGGCAAAAAGGAAUAUUUGCGCUCUCUCUAUACAUAUAGGCUUAAACACAGAUAUAAAAAUAUGUUGAUACAUAUCAAUAUCGUAACAACAUAAAGUCAAGUUUAAUCGGCAAGUAAUUAAUACCAAAGAGUUUUCUUUGUCAAUACUUUAAACUAACAAUUUUGCUAAUGAACCGAAAAAAUUC